AAUCUGGGAGAGGUGACGGUGGACGUCGAUCAACACGGCAUUGAGGCGCUGAGUCUCGGCCACGGCGACACUAUUGGGAACACCAGUAGGCGACAGCAGACACAGGGCCCAGGUAGCAUGAUGAAGCUGCACUUCGCGACCAUACUCCUCAAGGAUGUCUCGAGCACUCAUAGCGGAAAGGAGAGGGGAUGCAAAAAAUAAGGGACUCAGGCAGCCUAUUUAUAGAGAAGUAAAGAAGGAGGGGCCCGGGAACCGAGGAACUUUAAUGAAAGUGGGUGGGGGACGAAAGGGG
rnacentral:lncRNA from 1 species